ACCGUGAAGAAUCUAAUCAGAUCCAUCAGGGUUCAGUGUAAACUCCUCUUCAGUUUCCUCCAAUCUCUGCUCUCCUCACUGGGAGGACGCUUUCUUCCAUUGGGUCAUGGAGCCCAGAGGCCCUGAAAAAGAUUUUCACAACAGUAUCAUCCCUUUGAAAAAAAGAAACUUCGAUGUUGAGAGUAGUUUGAUUCUCACCACUUGCAAGGAAGAUGGGGAAGAAGCAGAGGCACCUCAAGACAUCAGAGCCUGUCCCAGUCCCGCAGCUACUGGUCACCAUCCCGGAUUCUGCAGGUGACCUGGUUAUUGCAAUCUUCAGGUGACCCUGUGGCCCCUUGUCCCUUGCUCCUGAAACUCCUAAAGCGAAGACCUAAAUCCAGAGAUACUUACAUUCUUUACUGAGUUGAGAAGAGAGGAUUUGGAAUACAAGUUCGUAAAUCUUCCAGAGCUGUAUGUUUCAGCCCCAAAUGCCUCUUUGAAUGUGCAUAUUUGCUAAUUAAAAG
rnacentral:lncRNA from 9 species